AAUGCGUAAAAAAAAUCUCUGGAACGCCGAUUCUGAAUUUUCAAAGAUGAAUAUUUCGAUCUUGUUGCGACAUUCUGGAAUAUGAAAAAGUGAUGUUAUGUAUGAGCGAUACAAAAGUAAUGGGAUAGUGGCUGGUGAAAAUAUUUUGUUCAUGAAUCUUAUUUCAGCAAUUGCGGUUGAGCUGGGUAUUGACGAAUCGAAAUAAAAUAUAGAGAUUAGAUAUGUUGUUGAAGGGAAUUCGUCUCCAUUGUGUAUUCGGACUGAUAUGAGUGUAAAAUUGUAUAUAGAAAUUAAGAAACAUGAGGCUGAAUUCGAAACUUAUUCUUUAUGCAUUGAUACUUCAGAUAAAGGUGUUGAAGAGAUAAUAAAUUUCAAUGCAACAACAUGUGCCAUCAUGUGUAUUGAGGGUGAAAAAAGUGACGCAAAGGCUCUCAAUAUUGUUGAAUCAUCAAUUGAUGAUGCAUAUUACAUACCGGAAAUGGAUGUCUGAUAAGCGGAAGAGAAUCAAAUGUAUAAAGAUAAGUCAACUCUGAAGGCGGUAAUGAAAAAUUACAAAAUAAAGAAUAGUUUCAACUUUAAAGUUAAAAGAUCUGAUAACAAAAGCUACAUAUUAGUUUGUCAUUCAAAUGAUUGUUGUUGGAAAUUGAAGGCAUCUUUUAGGAAGAAUUCAGAAACAUUCAUAGUGAGAUACCUUAAUAGUGAACAUACCUGUCCAUUAAGGAAUAGGGUAUUAAGCAAGGUACAAGCCACAGUUGGGUUUGUUAGUGGUGUGACAGCGCCUAAAUUAGGAACUCAUAAAAGAAAACAUACUCCGAGCGAUAUAAUUAAUGAUAUCAGGGAAAUGUAUGGCGUUGAGAUUUCUUAUCAACAAGCAUGGCGCGCAAAAGAGCGUGCAUUGGAACUUAUAUGAGGUAAACCUGCUGAUGGAUACAGAAAUAUGCCAAGAUGCAUAUAUAUGCUGGAAACUGUGUAUCCAAAUUCAUAUAUAAGGAUGCAUAAGUCUGAAUACAACGAUUUAUGUAUCUUUUCAUAUCAUUAAGGCCAAUGAUGAGAGGAUUUGAGUUCUGUAGGCCAGUUGUUGUUGUUGAUGCUUCACAUCUUAGUGGAGCUUAUUGAGGUACAUUUAUGUCUGCUAGUACACUCGAUGGAGUAGGUAUGACAUGUUGUUUAUGAAUUUAUUUUAUUAUUUUCUUAAUAUUAAGUUGUUAUUUAGUAUUAUGUUGUUUUGUGUUUAUAUAUUAAGGUUGCAUAUUGUCUUUGGCGUACGGAAUUGUUGACACGAAAAAUAUUUGUUCAUGGACAUGGUUCUUUCAACAAUUUAAGAAUGCAUUUGGUGAGAGGGAAAAAUGUGUGUUGUAUCUGACAGAAAUGAAAGCAUAGAGAAAAGUGUGAGUAUUGUUUAUCCAACUGUUCCUCAUUUUGCAUGCAUAUGGCACCUCUGGAAAAAUGUGUGUUCAAACUUUAGGACAAGCAGGACCAUUCUAAGUGAUCUGUUUUACUCAAUGGCUAAGACUUAUAUAAAAGAUGAUUUUGAAAAAUUGAUGGCUAAAUUGGAUAAAAUAGAUGGAAGAGUAAAAAAGUAUCUUCAAGAUGCUAGGUAUGAAAGGUGGUCUAGGUCUCAUGCAACAGUGAACCGUGGGAGAAUGAUGACUUCAAAUAUAGCUAAAUGUAUCAACGGUUGCCUUGUCGAUGCACGACAACUAACUACUAUAGAUUUUUUGGAGGAAGUUAGAAUUCUAUUUGGUUCUUAGAAUUGCAAAAAUAGAAAAAUAGCUUCUUAUACAAAAGAAACAUUGGGUAGAAGAUUUGAAGAAAUAUUGAUUUUAAACGCAUCAAAAAGUGCAAAAAUGAAGGUACAUAUUUGCUUUGUAUUUAUUAUUUUAUUGUUAAACAAAAAUGAAAAAAAAACUUAUUGACUCUCUGUUUUUUAAAAUAUUGCAGGUUGUAGCAUCUUUUGUGUUUAUUUUUUCAGUGUAUGAAGGUGGAAUUAGAUAUAUUGUUUGUCUUGAGAGGAAAACUUGUUCAUAUGGAAGAUUUCAACAUGACGAGAUACCUUGUCCACAUGUAAUAGCCGUCUUGAAGAAGAAGAAUAUAACAGAUGUACACCCCUACUGAUCUGAUUAUUAUAAACACGAUGCAUUAAUAAAUACUUAUGCAAUUCCAAUAGAACCAAUGCCAGACAAAAGAGAAUGGAAAGCUCCGGACUCUGUUUUGGAAGAAGUGAUUUUGCCACCUAGAUACAAAAAGAUGCCUGGGAGACCAAGAAAAAAGAGAAAGAAAAAUCCAGAUGAAAAUAUAACAACAAAAAUGAAUUGUUGUGGACGUUGUGGUCAAGAAGGUCAUAAUAAAAAAACAUGUACCUUCUUUCCAAAAGAUUCUUGAUUUAUAUUUUUUUAGUAUCUUUGAUAUGUAAUAAUGUUUCUGGAUAUUUUUAAUUUGCUAAUAAUAUGUGAACUUUUUUUA